CUAACGAGGAUUCCCCUAGUAACGGCGAGUGAAGCGGGAAGAGCUCAAAUUUGUAAUCUGGCGGUCUAUGGCCGUCCGAGUUGUAGUCUGGAGAAGCGUUAUCUGCGUCGGACCGUGUACAAGUCCCUUGGAACAGGGCGUCACAGAGGGUGAGAAUCCCGUCUUUGACACGGACUGCCGGCGCUUUGUGAUGCGCUCUCGAAGAGUCGAGUUGUUUGGGAAUGCAGCUCAAAUCGGGUGGUAAAUUCCAUCUAAAGCUAAAUAUGGGCGAAAGACCGAUAGCGAACAAGUACCGUGAGGGAAAGAUGAAAAGCACUUUGGAAAGAGAGUUAAACAGUACGUGAAAUUGUUGAAAGGGAAACGCUUGAAGUCAGUCGCGUCUUUCCGAGACUCAGCCUUGCGUUUGCUCGGUGUAUUUCUCGGAGAGAUGGGCCAGCGUCGAUUUUGACCGUCGGAGAAAGGCUUUGGGGAACGUGGCACCCUCUCGGGUGUGUUAUAGCCCUGGGUCGUAUGCGACGGUUGGGAUCGAGGAUCGCAGCACGCCUUUUCUGGCCGGGGUUCGCCCACGUAACGUGCUUAGGAUGCUGGCGUAAUGGCUUU
rnacentral:rRNA from 1 species